AUACGGAGGAUGCGAGCGUUAUCCGGAUUUAUUGGGUUUAAAGGGUGCGUAGGCUGUGCUGCAAGUCAGUGGUGAAAGACCUGCGCUCAACGCAGGAAGUGCCAUUGAUACUGCAGUGCUGGAGUACCCCUGCCGUGGGAGGAAUGAGUGGUGUAGCGGUGAAAUGCAUAGAUAUCACUCAGAACACCGAUUGCGAAGGCAUCUCACGAAAGGGCAACUGUCGCUGAGGCACGAAAGCGUGGGGAUCAAACAGGCUUAGAUACCCUGGUAGUCCACGCUGUAAACGAUGAUGACUAACUGUCGGCGAUAUACAGUCGGUAGCCAAGCGAAAGCGAUAAGUCAUCCACCUGGGGAGUACGACCGCAAGGUUGAAACUCAAAUGAAUUGGCGGGG
rnacentral:rRNA from 1 species